GAUCCCAGUUCUGUUUUGUAUGGACUCUUGCACCACUAACUUUUGCACUUCACCCCGGACUACAUUUCCCAUCAUCCAUUGCACUGAUUACACACACAGCUGCAGCCAAUCACUCACCCUACAUAAGCCAUGGACUUUCUCUCUCACUGCCGAGUAUUGUUGAGUGUUUAUGCUGUUGAGUGUAGCUACUUUACGGAGCCUGUUCCCAGUCCUAGUUUGUAUUUCCAGUUCUAGUCUAUGUCUAGACACUUGUUGUUUUCCUGUGAUUGCCUAGUGAUGGGCAGAUCGAGGCUUCAUGAAACACUGAAGCAGUUAAAGCAAAUGUGUCGAGGCUUCGAAACAAUCUGACACCGUCUCCACGGUGACCCCUAGUGGUCAGAACAGUGCAAAUGCAACAAAACUCAGGCCAAACAUGCAUAAAAACACCUUUUACAAAUGUAUUGCAAAAGUUUUAUUGAAAGUAAAAUCUAUCAAAUGCAAUUAACUAAUCAUCUAAUACGAUUACAUAUAGAGUGUCUGUAUAAUAUGUGUUUUUUUUAAUCAAUUUUCAAGGUUUGUUUCUCUGUUCCAUGGCUCAAGCUAAACAGGCAAAUAAGAGAUUAAUAACUACCAUUAUUCAUUUUAAUUAUUCUAAUGUCUGAUUAAAACAUCUACAAAUGUAUAAAACUGAUCGGAGAUCAGGUAAAACUAAAGGGUAAAGCCCAUAGACACUUGUUCAAUAGUUCUCAGUGAAUCUGAAUGAUUCAUGGGUUCACUUUAUCUUCACCCUCUACCGGUGAACCAUUGAAAUUUCAAACUGUUUUUAAACGUUUCGAAACAGUGAUGACGUAAUGAAGCCUCGUUUAAAAAAGCAAAGGAAUGGAUGGAUGAAAUGUCAGCAAUUUUUUUUUAAUGUUUAUUUCUUUACUUUAUUUCCUACUCCAGACAGAAGACCUAAUCCAGCGGCUGGAAAAAAUCCUGUCUGUGCCUGGAACUGUAGCUGAGAAACAGCUAUUUAUCACCGAGGUGAUUUUGCCAGAGGUUCUGAUUCAGUUGUUGCAAAGCCAAAACAUGUGCAGAUACAGAGCCGAAUCUGUGCUUCUAAAGUGCACAUCUUUCCAUGGAAAGAAAAGUGCUUCAGAGAUAACAUCAGGAGACACAGAAAGCACUGAAGAGGAAAACCCUUUUUUGAAAGACAUCAUCCUGCAGCUGACUGGUGCUGGAGUACAUGUCCCAAGUGUCCUUUUCAUGGACAAAGAGGAACAAGUACAAUCCCGUGAAAAACUGAACAGCUGGACGGGUGAAUUGGAUGAAAUUCACCAGCUGAACUUUUUACAUUUGUCUUUGCAAAAAAAGAGGACUUUGAAAAGUUCUGCAUUGAAUUUAGAGAUACAAGAAGGUACAGACUUUUCGCCAGGUUUGAGACGCAGUGAUUAAUGCUCAAUUAAUGCACAGUUCCCCAUUUUUUUACUUUUUACAUUUUUACAAAUAGAUUUCAUAAAAGUUUAAUAAAGAGUGAACAACAGCAACAACUUAACAGUGUCGUCAUUACUGCAACCUUUCUGCCAUAUAUAAUGCUUUUUGGGUUUUUUUAUUGUAUUUUUACAGUAAAAACAUUCCAUUAAAUUAUAUAACUGGACAGUGACAGGUGCUACAGAGAGCAACAGCUGCCGGAGAAAGUCUGUGGCUGAAGAUGCCACAGUUUCAGCUUUAGCACAUCAGAAACUUUUCUGUAUUAACUGAAUAACAGUAUAUAUUCAUGUAAUGACAUUUCAAAACAAUAUGUAAUGCACUGCAUUAAUAUUUUAUUAAG